AAAGAGUUUUUCUUCAUCAUCUUCAUCCAAAACCUCAAGAACAAGAACACAUAACAAUAUUCAACAAUUUCUUCAAGAUCCAAACUCAAGAAACUUCAUCGGUCUCUACUCCCUCCCUCUACGGUUCGUCUCCAUGCGCCGAUUGACACCACCGGUCCGCCACCAAAGCCUCACCACCGCUGCAGUCCACCAUUUCUCCCAUCGAAACCACCGGAAAUCUGACUCCUCUGCUUCUCCGUUCGCGUCGAUCCCUGCGUCCAGCACCACCUCUCUUCGGAUUCGUUCUUCAAUUCAGUACCAUGAGAAGUAG